rnacentral:lncRNA from 1 species
CCACCCAACCCAUUGGCCUCGCUUUUUUGGGUUAGGCAGUUACCUGUUGGGUCGACUCGGCUUGCUCCCAACCUGAGUUCAGCUGAACUGAAGUUGCCUGUUCGCAUAUUCAGGUGGAAUCAGGCUGUUUUCAUCCAACAUCAGGAGGGUUUUUUUCACCCACCCAAGAACCCCCAUUCGUUUUACCUUCAUUGCACUUAGUCCACCGGCUUGAAUGCUUUUGAACUGUUGAUGUUAAAGCAUAUAUCUAAACCUCUGUGGCAUGUCUGUUCAACAAAGCAGCCCUAAGUGCUCGGCUUGAUCUACCCGUGAUCACUCAUCAGGUUUCCAUGAUUUUCCAUCUGGGGUCCUUUGGUGUAUCUUCCAUCGCAUUAUUGCCUCAGCAAACAUGUUCCUCUUGACUUUCUUACCGUCACACACAAGGUAAUCUCGUUGGGUACAUGACAAAAUAAUUUUGAGCAUCAACAUGCUUUCAUAAAAAGCACAAGAAAUCAGUACCAUCAUGCACAAAACCAACUACUGUGUGAAUCACAAGUUCCUUCCAAACACAGGAAUCAGUUAGACAGGUUGCACACACAUCUCCACAACAAAUUGAUGAUGUAUGAAUGCAUACACAAGGAUUCUAGUCAUUUCUUUCUUUCUUGCAAACUACCCACACUCUACUACUGGAGCAAACAUAGUAGCAUACAUGGUGGGCUUCUCCAGGCACAAUCUCACAUAUGUUGCACCCCAGGAUUCUUCCUAUUUUCUUGUGUUUUGUUGACAGAGUUGGUCACAUGCUUUGCAGCACUACAACCCUAUGAUUUUCUAGUGUUUUGUUGUCUCCUUAUUUUCACCAUCAACAUGAUUGCUCUUAAGAAAAACAAAAAAUGACUGUCAACAUGCUUGCUCAUCAAAAUAAUCUUGUAGUCAGAUGAAGGGAGAAACGUUGAUAACCCUCUAGUGUCAGAAAGAAGGUAUGCUGAACAAGAGAUUGCUUCGGCCAAUGUUGAGUAGGACCAAGGCCUCUAUUUUGAAACCUCACAACCAACUUGUCGUCCACGUCAACCUGAAGUAGCAUGUCACCAAAUUUGGCCGGCACAAGCAUCCGACUUGUGAAGCUAUAACGGUCAUUUUCUUGAGUAGGACAUCCCCGGUACAAAUGCGGGCCAUAGACAUGAACAUGUCGCAUAAUUUCAGCCAUGACGGUGCUCGAGAGCCCCAGAGGAAUGCGACAUUGUCUGCUGCACCCCCC